GUUGGAGACGAUUGCAGACUCAGCUGCAGGCAUAGAUGGGUCUACGAGCCUGCAGUUCUCAACUUGCAACUUGAGAUCGCUGUAGGAGCAUUGAUGUGCACGCGUGUAUGCCAACUAGAGACGUAGUAUGGAUGACCUGGUCAUGUGUACACACGGACGGACGGAAAUCAUAACACAGCUGGCAAUUUAAGGGCACAUUGUCAGAUAGAAAUCCAGCUCUAUGAUGGGAAGAUGACAUAGAAGCAUUUACAACAAUUCGACGAAUUUUGAAACUGAAAGGCCGACAGCCAGGAGUAAACAUGAGCUUGAGAGGGCAGGUUUCUUAUCGAGAUGCAACACAGCAAAGACUCUUUUUCAGUUUGACAAUACAUAUCAACGAUCUGUUGAGGCCAAACACAAGUAUAAAUACAGAUGAAUUUGGUCAUCAAUGGAGCUCUGGUCACUGGUAUGACAAGAAACUGAAGAUUACAACAAAGAUCCAGAAGCCUGAUCAGUUGAUGGACAAAUUCAAGCAAAGAUUGAAUCUUCAUGCAAUACAGAUAAUCGGAAAGGAGAGUGUGGCUGCAGCAUCAUUCCUACAAACCAAUCUCUUGUGCUUAGUACAUGGCAAAGUACUAAGUGGCGGGCAAGUGGAAUUAUAGAUCAAAACACGCAACAGCAUGUUGACAGAAUUGGUAACAAAACACUGCAGCACGACAUUCUAGCUUUUUCUAGUUUAUUGC